CUUUUGAUUAUAAUUUAAGGUCUAACCUGCCCACUGAUAAUUUAAAUGGCCGCGGUAUUUUGACCGUGCAAAGGUAGCAUAAUCAUUAGUUUUUUAAUUGAAAGCUGGAAUGAAAGGUUGAAUGAAAAAAUGACUGUCUCUAUUAAAUUUUAUAGAAUUUUAUUUUUAAGUUAAAAAGCUUAAAUUUUAUUAAAAGACGAGAAGACCCUAUAGAGUUUUAUAAAAUUAUUAAAUAAUUAUUUUAGAAUUAAAAAUUUAAUUUUAUAAUUUUAUUUAAUUGGGGUGAUUGAAAAACUUAAAUAACUUUUUUUAUAUAUUUACAUUAAUAUAUGAAUAAUUGAUCCAUAAAUUAUGAUUAUAAGAUAAAAUUACCUUAGGGAUAACAGCGUUAUUUUUUUUAAGAGUUCUAAUCGAUAAAAAAGAUUGCGACCUCGAUGUUGGAUUAAAAUUAAAUUUUGGUGUAGGAGCUAAA
rnacentral:rRNA from 1 species